ACAAAGAAUAUUGCUCAAGUCAAAUGAUUUAUAAAAGAGAAAGAAAGAGGAUUGUUAAAAAUGCAUAUUAUGGGAUUGGCUUUUUGCAGAUAAUAAAAUGAAUAGCCCAUGUGUUAUGUUGGGAAGUUAUGCUGUAUUCAUAUAGUUUCUUUCAGUAAUAUAGUAAAUGUAGUUUUUAGGUUAUAGCAUAAUAGUAAAAUAGAAGCUAUGUUAUGUAAAGAUGCUUUUGUAAUUAGCUCGAGAAAUGGAGAAGAUAACCAAGGAAUUUUUUUCACAGUAUCCUAGUUGGAUAAGGGAUGGCAGCAACAACUCUAAAAGAGGUUCUGAGAAAAGAUUUAUGACAUCUGUUAUCAAAAGCCUUGCGACAGUAUAGAGCCAUGAGAAGGCCAGAUUUAUAGAUGGGAGAAGGGGGGGAGUUGAGAUUAAACAGAAACACCUAAAAUUUGAAAGGAAUGUUUGAAUCAUGUAUGUAAUGUAUGAAUAUUCAACACACUAGUGUUCUUAAGGGAUGAGUCUUUUGUUAAGCAGUGUACCCGCAUGGUGAAUCCCAUGUGAAGGUACCCAGGUGCCUGUAAAAGAAUACUUUUGUUCUUAUUGUCUCCUGAUUGUCUAUUUGUAUUUUUUUUUAUUAAACUUUAAAAUUUUACCAAGUGAACCUCGUUUUUCACACUUACAGUGAUGGGAUGACAUUUGCAGUUGUGGGGACACAAAUUACCCCUGGCCUGUGAGGUAUCUGGGGAGCUGUCCCAUGCCCACCCAUCUUGCAGCUGGCCAGCAGUGCCAGGCUCCUCUCAGCACCGGCCAUAGGGGGACCACGAUGGCUCCCAUGGGGCGGCAAAUUCCAUUGGCCCCUUUGGCAGAUGUUCAUAGAAUAUUCAAAAUAUUCAACCCCUAUACCACUAAACCUAAGGCGUAUUUAAGAGGUUUCUGGAUCUGGCACCGGGUCAUGUGGUUUAGUGGUUGCAGUGUCAGCGCUGAGUGGAUGGCUGGACUUGAUCUUGAAGGCCUCUUCCAGCCUUGACAAUUCCAUGAUCCUAAACCACAUCACUCAGCGCCAGAUUUAGACACCGCUUAAGCACAUCCAGGGACGGUGACUGCACCGCCUCCCUGUGCAGCCUAGUCCAAUACCUGACCACCUGAACAGUGGAUUUCUUUUUUCUAAUCUGAAUCUCUGCUGUCGCCGUUUAAGGCCGUUUCCUCUGGUCCUCUCCCUGUAGACACCGCAGAAGAGACCGGCCCCACUUCACUACACCCUCCUGUUAGGGAGUGAUGAAGUCCCCCCUCAGCCUCUUGGAACCCUCCGGCUCCCUCAGCUGCUGCUCAGACUCGUUACCCAGCCCUUGCAGGAGGCUCGCUGCUCCUGGCCGGACCCGUUCCCGCAGCCCCGUCCCUGCGGAAGCGCAGCCCGAGACCAGCGACCGACGCUGCCGCGGCCUCCCCGGAUGGAGGCGGGAGCGCUCCCGGUGCCGGCAGGGCGGGAGCGGGCGGAGCCUGCGCACUGCGCCCCGCGCCCCACCCGGCACUCCCGCGGCCCGGCGCUAAAGAUGGCGGAGGGCAGUGCGGAGGUUCCGUCCUGCGCUUCUUCCUCCUUUUCUUCCUUGAAGGGGCUGCGGGAGCAGAUGGUUGCUGCAGCCCAAGCCAUAGCAGAAGAAAGAAGAAGCCAAAGUGGCAUUAGCCCUCUUGCAGUCCAGACCUCAAUAAAGACAGCAACCAAACCAGUGAUAGAUGGUUCCAUGCUAAGAACAGAAGAAAGGCAAAGACUGGCCAGGGAGCGUAGAGAAGAGCGGGAAAAACAACAUGCUGCCAAAGAGACACAAAUCCUUGAAAAGGAGAGAAAAGCAAAACUCCAGUAUGAAAAACAGUUAGAAGAAAGGCAGAGAAAGCUAAAAGAAAUGAAGCAAAAAGAGGAACAGCGAAGGGCAGCAGUAGAAGAAAAGAGGAAACAAAAAAUAGAGGAGGAAAAGGAGCGCUAUGAAGCAGUUCUGCGUUGCAACUUGGAAUGGAAUCAGCAGCUGGAAACACGACAGAAGAGAUGGUCAUGGGGGGUCCUGUAACUCCAGACUCGGAAGGCAAAACAGCUCGCCGCUCCCAGCUCAGUCCCCUGGACAGUAGCGUAAUCAGCCGCCUCCUUGCCCCCACACAGGCCUCCCUAGCUAGGAGUAAAAGUGCUGCUACCUUGUCGGCUGAUGGACAGGACCUCUCAGAAUCUCACCUCUGUCCUCGUUCAGCUUCAGCCAGUUCCAUCAAUUCCCCAGUCCCAUCUCCUAAAGUGCUGGUGUGCAGCCAUAGCAUCAACAGGUUGAAGUCUUCUGUGUCAUCUGAUGCAAGUUCACCUGAUUCAACCCAGAAAUCAGAGACAGAAAAACCAUCCCCAGGUUCUGGUUUGAGGUGCUCUCCCUCACCAUCCUUGUCUGCCUGUAGAAGAUCCCCCUCUCCUGCUAAUUUGGUGAAGUGUCCUCCGUCCCCUUCUGCAGUCAGACAGAAGACUCGCCCACCUUCACCUGGUGUGUCGAAACAAAGGCCACCAUCUCCUACUCCAGUCUCUAAAUCAGCACCCAUCCAGCAUCCAUCUCUCACACUACGUGUUAUAAACAUUACCAAAAAGAAAACUGAAGCAGAGAGCAAAACAAAGGAUAAUAGCACAGAAGGAAUAGGACAAGAGCAAGGUGCUUCCCCAGCCUUGGAGAGGGAUGCAGGAGCAGCUAGCACAAAGACCAAAGAAGAAUCAGGUAGCAAAACAGUAGCAGGGACCAGCACAGCUGAAGAAGCUGCUAAAAUCUUGACAGAGAAGCAACGUCUGGCACGGGAGCAAAGAGAGCAUGAAGACCAAGAAAGAAUUCAGAGACAAGAAGAAAGAAUCGGAGAAGAAGAAAUGGCCAGGAGAGCAACUGAGGAAAAAGCACAACAGGAGGAGCUCCAGAAAGAGGAGAAGGAAAAGAGACUGACUUAUGAAAAACAGCAAAGACAAGCUGAAGAUGAGAGGAUCUGCCAGGAACUGGAAGAGCAGGAAAAACUCGCAGAGCUUCAACAGCAGAGAGAAGAAGCUGAAGCAAAAGCUCAAGAAGAGGCUGAAAGACAGCGACUGGAAAGAGAAAGGAUUAUGCAGCAAAAUAUGCAGGAAAGGCUUGAAAGAAAAAAGAGAAUCGAAGAAAUAAUGAAAAGAACACGAAAAUCUGAUCAAAAUGAAUCCAAGUUGCAGAAUGAAGGGAAGUCUGCCUCAGAGGUGAUGGAGGGAGAGGAUAUUGAAGAGGAGGAAGAGUUGGGUCUUGAGAAGACUGAUCAACCAGGAAAGCUAAAUGGUGUUGACUUGCUCCAGGAAGUCAAGGGGGAGGCAGAGGAUUGUUUAGACACUGCACAAAGCAUGAUCUCUGCAGAAUCUGAGGCACAAGAUGAGUCAGAGUUGAAGGCCAGUGAAGUGUUCAUGAAUGGAAGUGACUUGAAAAGUGAGGAGGGGUCUUUGUUACUGAACUAAAGGAUUCCAGCCAUCCUGCAAAAGAAAUGGUUAUCGAUGACUCAGGGAAGUUGGGUGUUCAUGAAGCUGAUCAUGCAAUUGGACUUAUUCACAAUCUUAAUGGAAAAUCUGGUUCAUGGACUUUUCAGGAGUUCGUUGACAUUGGAGUACAUUCCAAGUCAACCAAACUGAGCUCAGACAGCAUCUCUGCUGGUAACUGUAAUCAAAACUUGAAUGAUGCUGCUACAGUACCUUCUAGUCCCGAAUUGGCUUUUGAGGAAGAUGAUGCAGUGAAUUCAUUGACCAAACUUAUAGAUGCUUCAUCAGGUCGCCUGCCUUUCCAUCGAAAGGCAACAUUAGUGGUGCCGAAACCCGGGACAAAAACGCUCGAGAAUCGGAGUUUUCGCCUGGACAGGAGCAGCGGCCGAGGCGAGACAAAAGGACCCGACCCACGGCGGGGGAGACGUCCCCGGACCAGCGAAGAUCAUGGAGGCCAUCGCGAAAGUCGACAUGCUCGUGGGACGCCCCCAUAACGCGUACACCCCUGUUCCAGAGGGAAGUGACGAACCACCAAACCGCCCGGUAGCACCCAAGAGUCCCACACCGGUGAGACCCAGACAACAACGGUGUUUUUGUGUGAUUUUGCUAUUGGGGCUUGUCACCAGAGGGCAAGCCAGCUCAGACUAUUACCCGCAUCAACCUUUCAGAUGGGUCCUACAACAUCUUUCAGCUGAUGCGGUGCUCAAAGAAACCACCACAGCGGGUAGCCCAUCCAUAGUGUUUAAGCUGAAAGACAUAUUCCCUUCACAAGCAAGAUUCCCCAAAUUCGGUAACUUAUCAUUGUGGCAAACCUAUUGGUGUCCCGCCUCCAACCCAGGAAAAAGUUAUUGCAUAGACCCAAGUUAUGGGUACUGUGGACGUUGGGGGUGUAAGACCAUCGUGACAAGCGAUAGAUGGCAACCACAACAAGCAGAUAAGUUCCUGCAAGUCACGUAUGCACCACGUGGCUGUCGCGAGCCAAAAUUUGCAUCCGACAAAACAAUAUACACGCCCCGAGACGGGAGGAGACACACCUGUCAAAACUACAACAUGACAAUUUUGCAACCGGCCCACGCGAGUUGAGCCACGGGGAGAGUGUGGACAGUGGUUGCCCGCGUCUUUGGUCGCGACGUUUGGGUGAACCUAAUAGUAAUCAGACUUCUGCCACCCAAAUCUCAAUCAAUUAGACCUAAUCAAAUUCUUACAGUAAACAGACCCAAGAUGGAGACGACAACUAGUCCCAAAACCACCUCUACCACUUGUAUCCCGUCCAACUCAGUAGUCCCCUACCAAAAACCCAAACCAGCUCCUUAUAAUCCAUUCCUUAAAGUAUUGAACGCCACCUUUCUGUCGCUAAAUCAAUCAGUCCCAAACCUCACAAAUUCGUGCUGGUUAUGUUACGAUGCAAAACCCCCUUUCUAUGAAAGUGUUGCCCUUGAUGUUCCCUUUAGCUACUCAGCGGCUGUCAAUCCACCCCAGUGCAGGUGGGACACUCCCCGCAGAAGAAUCACCUUGAGUCAAGUCACAGGUCAGAGCAAAUGCUUUAGCAGUGCGGCCUUAGCAAAAGAGAAAAGCAACGUCUACACAAAAGUUGUAAAGCCCGACAAAAAGAUCAAUAAGUAAGUGAUCCCAUCCGCGUCUGGGAUGUGAGUUUGCCAGCAGUCUGGGGUGAGUCCCUGUGUGUUCCUUGACAAAUUUGAUGACUCUGCUGAUUUUUGUGUCCAAGUUCUGAUUGUUCCUAGGGUCCUGUACCACUCAGAUGAGGAGAUGUACCGCCUUUAUGAGGAACCUGGCCAGCUCCACAAAAGAGAGAUAAUAACAGGUGUAACUAUUGCAGCGCUGCUCGGUUUGGGAGCAGCCGGCACAGCCACAGGUGUCUCAGCCCUAGUGACCCAACAACAAAGACUUUCCCAGCUGCAAAUGACCAUUGAUGAAGACUUGCAGAGGAUCGAAAAAUCCAUCUCCUUCCUAGAGAAAUCAGUCUCCUCACUUUCAGAAGUUGUCUUGCAGAACAGACGAGGGCUAGACCUACUGUUCAUGCAACAAGGAGGCCUGUGCACCGCCUUAAAAGAAGAAUGCUGUUUUUAUGCUGACCAUACAGGAGUCGUUAGAGACUCCAUAGCAGAACUCCGAGAUAGACUGGCCCAGAGAAAGAAAGAUAGAGAAGCCCAACAGGGUUGGUUCGAGUCCUGGUUCAAUCAAUCGCCAUGGCUCACCACUCUAAUUUCCACCCUGAUGAGCCCACUGGCAAUGUUACUUUUAGCCCUUACCUUUAGACCAUGCUUGCUGAACAAGCUAGUUUCAUUUGUCCAAACACGCCUAGAACGAGCCAACAUUCUAUUCGUAGAACAGCAACUAUUGCUGUGAAUGAAACUGUGAACACUGCCAGUCGCGAGAUUUGUCUGAUCUACCUCGCAAAUAUUUACUCAAGUUUUUCAAACCCCUUUUUCUUUUAUUAAGUUACUACUUUGUACCUCAUUAUAAUACCUAUAUUUUAACUACCUCAUUUAUUUGUGAGAGGAGGGGGGGAGAUGUGUAAGAGCAGAUAAGAUAAGGCCUGGCGCCGCAGAAGAUCUCGAGAUUGUAACAGAAAGACAGAAACCUCCCCCUCACCCUCGGAGAUGUGUAACUAACCUUGAGAACAAUGUAGCCCCUCUAAACCCAGUAGUUUUCCACUAACUUCUAACCUCCCCUCCCCUCUGACGUAGUGAAGACCCCUUAGACUAUAUAAUCUCAUGUAAGAACCUAAUAAAUCGCCAUUUGCCGUCCACCAUAUUAGUGUAUGCGUUGUC